rnacentral:misc_RNA from 1 species
GAUGAAGAACGCAGCGAAAUGCGAUACUUGGUGUGAAUUGCAGAAUCCCGUGAACCAUCGAGUCUUUGAACGCAAGUUGCGCCCGAAGCCGUCAGGCCGAGGGCACGCCUGCCUGGGCGUCACACGCCGUUGCCCCCCCGCGCCCCGCACCCAACUCUUUGGGAGCGACCGCGGGGCGGGCUGAUGAUGGCCUCCCGUGCGCUCCGCCGCGCGGUUGGCCCAAAUACCGAGUCCCCGGCGACGUGCGCCACGACGAUCGGUGGUUGAGAGACCUCUGUCGCAAGUCGUGCGCGCCCGUCGCGUCACGCGGGCUCGCAUAGCGCCUCGCGCCGCACCCGGUGCGGAGCUUUCAACGCGACCCCAGGUCAGGCGGGGUUACCCGCUGAAUUUAAGCAUAUCAAUAAGCGGAUGA